GGGUCCAGGCCCCCACUGCUGUGUGCAGCCUCAGGACUUGGUGCCCUGUGUCCCAGUGGCUCCAGCCAUGGCUAAAAGGGGCCAAGGUAGAGCUCAGGCCAUUGCAUUUUAGGGAUUUCAAGAGGGUCAUCUUUGCACCACAGGAAAUGCCCCCUUUUACACUCUGAAAACCUUAUCAAACCGUUGUAUAAAAGAUGAAUACCCACAUAACAGGCUCUAGCACUGUUCUGUUUUUGAGCUGAGACAUUUUAAAAGGAGAUUUUUCAAUUCUAAAAAUUCUUUAAAUAAAAUGACAGUCUGUCUUAUUCUGAUACUUCUUUUAUGGUUAUUGUAUGAGAAUCAACUACCCAGGCACCUCGGAGCAUGUUGAUUUCAGAGUUCAGUGUCAGACCCCAUGAGCCCCUGUGGGAUGGUGCCAGCUGACUGCCAUGUUCCUGCUGUUUAUUGCUUGGGUGCCAUUACAUGCAGAGUGGACUCUGAGGGUUCUAGAGCAUAUCCAAACCCAUAUCACACUCUUUGUUGGUUAAUGAUGUGUUCAGGCCAUGAUUUUUCUGUAAAAAAUUACCAGCAUGCUGCUCUUAAUUUUUUUCAGCCUAUCCAGUUCAGUUGCCUUUUGCUCUCAUGCCUUAUGCAAACCUUUCCUCAGAGGUGACCCUAGAAGAAGGGACCCUUUGUGAUGGAAAAGGUCUUCAUUUGGGGCAUAACCUGUGCCAACAGAAAGGUACUUUCU
rnacentral:lncRNA from 10 species